CCAACGGGAAACCAGUUCAUGGGAAAAUUACUGAAGCAAGUUUAAAGUGUGGUGUAAGUAGACAAGUCAUCCAUAGAAUUUGGAAGAGAACACAUGAGCAAAUUCACUCAGGUCAGCCCAUUUCUUUAAAAAAUAAGAAAACAGACCUUCCUCGUGUUAAAAGGCAGGAGUUUGAUAAAACAGCUUUACAAAAUAUAGUUGUGCACAAAAGAGGUACUUAUAGAAAUAUCGCGAAGGAGAUGAAUGUAAGUAAGAGUACUGUCAGGAAUUGGGUAAAAUCGGGGCUAAUCAGACCGCACACCAAUCCUAUCAAGCCUUCCCUUGGCGAGUAAAACAAGAUAGAGAGGCUGAAGUUCAGCCUCAACUUAGAUUGACAGUGCAUCGAAAGUAAUCAAAUUCCGAAGCAUGACACAAGUUGUGCACAUAGAUGAAAAGUGGUUUAAUCUUACAAGGGAGACGGAAAGAUACUAUCUAUUACCCGAUGAGCCAGAGCCAUAUAGGGCCUGUCAAAGUAAAAGAUUUAUUACGAAGGAAAAGUUCUAGCCCAAAAAAUUUUAGAAUAGAGUAGUCGGGACAAUGGUUACAACAUCAUUAGAAUCCCUUACGAAGGAAGUCACAAAGGAACUUUUAAUCAAUAAGGUGAUACCAGCAAUAAAGGAGAAAUGGUCAAGUAUUAGGGACAAGAAUGUCACUAUUCAACAAGAUAACGCAAAGCCGCACAUCAACAACCUUGAUCUAGAUUUCAGACAGACAACAAGCACUGAUGGAUGGAACAUCAAUUUGGUUUUUCAACCACCAAACAGCCCAGACACAAAUUUGAAUGAAAUGGGAUGGUUCAGGCACUACAAUCUUUACAAAUUACACAGUCAGGUACCACAGUAGAUGACUUACUUGGUGCAGUUCACAAAUCAUUUGAACAAGUAUCACAUAUCGCUCUAAACUCAGUUUUUCUAAGUUUGCAAGCAUGUCUUGGUGAGAUAAUGGCUAAUCUUGGAUCAAACAAUUAUAAGAUCCCUCACCUAGGAAAAGAAUCUUUGAGAAGGUCAGAGAAUCUCCCGGAAGACAUUCAAGUUGACCAUGAAAUGAUCAAAACAUGUAUUGAUCAUUUGAUGGAUUUUAAUGAAGCAGAAGACCUAGAUGACUUUAUAACUUCUCUAGGGGAAUUUUAGUAAUAGAUGAAUGCUUAGGUGUAGUAGAACAUGUUUUUGAUGAUAGGAGAAGUUAUGGUUAUUCCGAUAAAACAUCUCCAUUUAGAGAGGUUGUUUAAGUAAUAACCAAUAAUCUCUUUUGUAGGAUAAUUAAAUCAAUUUGUACACCCAACAAACCUUUGGAUGGGAUGUAUAUGCAUAUGUGACACUUUUUGUAUGUCAUUUUCACAAUUUAUCAUCACAGAGUGUUGUAAACUUACUCUUAGAAAUUAGUUGACAUUUAUAGGGUGCUCUCAGAUACUAAUCAUCAUCGAGUAAGGGCUGCGGCGUACAAAUUUCAAUGCACAUAUGACUGCAUUACUGUAAAAGUAAACUUCCAAAUACAAUAUGAAUCAAAGGAUCAUCAAAGAACACAAUCAAUACACUCUUGGAUGAUAACUUUCAUCGAGUGAGGGGCAGUGACUACAAAUUCAAAUGCACAGUGGUUGCAUUACUUUAAAAGUAAGCCUCCACAUACAAUAUGCAUCACAGGGUCAUCAAAGAACACAAUUAGUACACUCUCGGAUGAUAACCUUCAUCGAGUGGGGGGGGAAGGGGGCAGUGACUACGAAUUCAAAUGCAUAGUGGUUGCAUACUUUUAAAUGUAAGCCUCCAAAUACAGUAUACAUCACAGGGCCAUCAAAGAACACAAUCAAUAUACUCUCGAAUGAUAAUCUUCAUCGAGUAGGGGGUAGUAACUACGAAUUCAAAUGCACAAUGGUUGCAUUACCUAUAUAGUAAGCAUCUAUUAUAACUAUGCACAAUCAGUACACUCUCGGAAGAAAAUCGUAAUCGAGUGGAAGCUGUUUAGGCAAAUAAUCUUGCGCAUAUUUGGUGCAUUACUCACAAAGUAAGCCAUCCAUAAACAAUAUGCACUACACACAACCAACAGCCUACAUUGCACAUAAUCAACACAAAAAUUCAUCAUUUCAGCCAUUAAAAUUGAAAUUCCCAACUUCAAGUACUCAUAAAAAGAAGCCAUAGAAGGUAUACCUUAGAGUACUCGGGCAAGGUGGUCGCAAGAGGACAUUAAAUCCUCAAGAACUGAAGGAACACAUCACGGCGGCUACGAGCAUUGAUUCCGGCUAUAAGGGUUUUUUUUUGUCAUUUAUUUUUGAACGACAACUGGCAACGGACAGAGAAAGGCAAACUCGGAGUCUAGCACAACCCAGCCGGAGUACAGGUGGGGCGAUUCUAGCACCUCAGAGGUCAAAGAUUCCGAGCUCGUAUACGAGCAAAGCCUCUCAAUAGACGGCCAAAGCCCCUCAUCUGGAAGGUCUCAAACCCACCGUUGAAGGUCCCGCACGUCUUCGGUACCAUGGAUCUGUAAAGAUCAGAGUCAAAGAGGGAAAUAUCGGAAUAGGGCUUCACAGGCGACUUCCGAACAAGGCCGAUGGACAAAGCCCGAGAGGAUCCUUUGAUAAAUCCUCCGAUUGAUCGCAAUUGAAGCGAUUUUGGGCCAUACCGGUGGUUGACGGCGACGGUUGAAGCAAGAUCCAGAGAGAACGACGAAGAUGAAGAUCGUGAAAAAAAUCCUAAGAACACAAGAGGAUCGAUAAAAAUGAAUGUGAGAAGGGUAGGUCAGAGUAUAAAUAAAUUGUUUUUGUUUUAAUUUUGAUAAUUGUGUUUAUUUAAAAAUAGAUGUAUAAAUAAAUGUAAUGGUAUUUAUGUAAAUAAGCAUAAAAGUAAAACUAUGUGUAAAAUGGGGUGGGGUCCACACUUACUAAAAAAGGAAAUUUAAAUUUUGUAUUUUGGACAACCCAAAUGAAAAAAUGUAAACUUUGUAAGCGGACGGAGAAAGUAUAUUUAAUAUUUUUGACGCAAUUCUUCUUACCGUACAUAAAAAAUCAUUUUAUUUAAAAA